rnacentral:rRNA from 1 species
CUACGGGGGGCAGCAGUGGGGAAUAUUGCACAAUGGGCGCAAGCCUGAUGCAGCCAUGCCGCGUGUAUGAAGAAGGCCUUCGGGUUGUAAAGUACUUUCAGCGGGGAGGAAGGGAGUAAAGUUAAUACCUUUGCUCAUUGACGUUACCCGCAGGAGAAGCACCGGCUAACUCCGUGCCAGCAGCCGCGGUAAUACGGAGGGUGCAAGCGUUAAUCGGAAUUACUGGGCGUAAAGCGCACGCAGGCGGUUUGUUAAGUCAGAUGUGAAAUCCCCGGGCUCAACCUGGGAACUGCAUCUGAACUGGCAAGCUUGAGUCUCGUAGAGGGGGGUAGAAUUCCAGGUGUAGCGGUGAAAUGCGUAGAGAUCUGGAGGAAUACCGGUGGCGAAGGCGGCCCCCUGGACGAAGACUGACGCUCAGGUGCGAAAGCGUGGGUAGCAAACAGGAUUAGAUAUCCCGGUAGUC